CACCUGCAGCGUGGCAGCCUCAGCACAGCUCUGGGGCGUCUGCACCAUGGCCUGGGCCCCCCUCCUCCUCCUCACCCUCCUCCUCCACUGCACAGGGUCCCUCUCCCAGCCUGUGCUGACUCAGCCGCCCUCUGCAUCUGCCUCCCUGGGAGCCUCGGCCAAGCUCACCUGCACCCUGAGCAGUGGACACAGCAACUAUGGCAUUGCGUGGCAUCAGCAGCAGCCGGGGAAGGCCCCUCGGUACUUGAUGUAUGUUAAUAGUGAUGGAAGCCACGGUAAGGGGGACGGGAUCCCCGAUCGCUUCUCAGGCUCCAGCUCCGGGGCUGACCGCUACUUAACCAUCUCCAACAUCCAGUCCGAGGACGAGGCUGACUAUUACUGUGGCGCAGAUUAUAGCACUGCUGGUUCAUAUGGUUGA